rnacentral:rRNA from 1 species
CCUACGGGGGACAGCAGUGAGGAAUAUUGGUCAAUGGGCGCGAGCCUGAACCAGCCAAGUAGCGUGAAGGAUGACUGCCCUACGGGUUGUAAACUUCUUUUAUCAAGGAAUAAAGUGAGGCACGUGUGCCUUUUUGUAUGUACUUUAUGAAUAAGGAUCGGCUAACUUCGUGCCAGCAGCCGCGGUAAUACGGAGGAUCCGAGCGUUAUCCGGAUUUAUUGGGGUUAAAGGGAGCGUAGAUGGGUUUUUAAGUCAGUUGUGAAAGUUUGCGGCUCAACCGUAAAAUUGCAAUUGAUACUGGCAGCCUUGAGUACAGUAGAGGUAGGCGGAGUUCGUGGUGUAGCGGUGAAAUGCUUAGAUAUCACGAAGAACUCCGAUGGCGAAGGCAGCUUACUAAACUGCCACUGACAUUGAUGCUCGAAAGUGUGGGUAUCAAACAGGAUUAGAUACCCUAGUAGUC